GAGCAUGAAGGAAAAACAAAGCAAGAAAAAAGAAAAGAUAGAGUAUAAAGAAAAGGAGAGAAAGACGAGAGCAAAAGGGAGAAGAGUUAGAGAAAGAAGAGGAACCGAAAGGAGAUAGAGCAGUGGUAGAGAGACACAUUACAAAAAGGAGACGAGUAAGAGGAACAGACGAGAAAUCGGAUAGAGAUAAACAGCAAGAAAAACAGAGCAUGGGAAUGGACGAUGAAAAACGAGAGAGAAGAUAAAAACGGAGAGGAGAUCGAGGAGGACAGCACUCAAACCAUAUGAAAACGGUGAAGAAAGAGGUAGAUCGGAGAGUUCAAGAACAUGAGCAAGGUCAGAAUGGAUUUUCUUCUGAUGAGGACGCUCAUGUUAUUGGUGACUAUGUUAAGCACCUAUUAAGGGAGCUACCUUCAUCUCCAGUUCCAGCAUCAUGUUGCACUGCUUUGUUAGAGUUAUACUGGAAACCUUUCCAGAGCUUAAUCAACAUUUAUUACAGAGCCAGCAUCUCUCUUUCCUUCCUCUCAUUCUGCCGUCAUUGACUGAGCACUCGGUUCUCCUCUGUGGUACCUCGGUAGAACUCCAGCCUUCUUCUCGACUUGGUGUGUUUGAAGGUUUGGAAAGGAGACUGAACUUCACCUCUUCUUCUUCACAUUCUAAAUCACUCUGUGGUCGACGGUGGUGUACGUGUAUGUGCUCGGUCUUCAUCUCCUUUUCCUUUCUCAGUUACAGGCAUGGCGAGAGUGUUCUACUACUGAGUCUGAGCAAGGGAAGGAGUCAGGCAAGGGCUAGCAUAUUUACUACGUUGCAAUUGUAAUGCCUGAUUUUACCUUGGAUUGUGUGUACAUAAACGUAAAUAUAAGACAAUAUGAGUUGCCAACUCGGAAUGCAUAACAUUUUAUGAUUAGCACUUGUAUUAUACUAUGCCAUAUUGUAUUUUAGCCCAAGAUUGUAUAUAA